UACAGAGGUCCCAAGCGUUGUUCGGAUUCAUUGGGCGUAAAGGGUGCGUAGGCGGCGCGGUAAGUCGGGUGUGAAAUCUCGGAGCUUAACUCCGAAACUGCAUUCGAUACUGCCGUGCUUGAGGACUGGAGAGGAGACUGGAAUUUACGGUGUAGCGGUGAAAUGCGUAGAGAUCCGGAGGAACACCGACGGCGUAGGCAGCGCCCUGGACGACACCUGACGCUGAGGCACGAAAGCUGGGGGAGCGAACAGG
rnacentral:rRNA from 1 species